CUCCCGUGUGACCGCACAGCGGAGGAAACGAUGGACUCGCGGGGCCAGCUGGCCGACAGUGCGCCUGAAGCACUACGAACAGAGGCCCGCAGCACCCGCGGCGGCGAGCAAAACCACCCGAAGAGAAGGGACACGAGAGGCAAAGCGGUCAUCCGAGGAGGCUUCACGAGCAGUAGAGAAAGUAGGGCAGCAAGGGAGAGGGGGAACGGCACGUCCAAUUAAACCCAGAGCUUCAAAGCUACAAGAGACAACGAACCGCGUUUAAUAAUAGAAGAAAACAGCAAACGGGGAAAGACUAGCGAUCUCCUCAGGAAACUCGGAAACAUCAAGGGAGCAUCUCGCCCAAACACGGGCACAAUAAAGGACAGAAUGGCACAGACCUGGCAGAUGCUGAGAGGAUCAGGAAGAGCUGGAAAGAACACAGAACUGCACUCGAAACGACUUUAAUGCACCGAUUGCUGCGGUGGCGUGGUCAGCCACCCAAAGCCAGAUAUUCUGGAGUGCGAAGUCAGGUGGGCCUUAAGAAGCUCUGCUGCCAACAAGGCUUCUGGAUGCACCAAAAUUCCCACAGAGCUAUUCAGACCCUGAAGGAGCGCGCCCCCAAGGUCCUGCGUUCAGCAGGUCAGCAAAUCUGCAAGACCCAGCUGUGGCCACAGGACUGGAAAAGGUCAGUCCUCACCCCAGUUCCCAAGAAGGGCAAAGACGGUGCUGACCACACGAUAACUGCGCUCAUCUCCCAGGCCAGUGUGAUAACGCCUAGAAUCUGGCAGGCUAGCGUGAUAACGCUUAAAGUCUCACAUGCUAGUGUGAUAACGCUUAGAAUCUCGCAGGCUAGCAUGAUAACGCUUAGAAUCUCCCAGGCCUGCGUGAUAACGCUUAGAAUCUCGCAGGCUAGUGUGAUAACGCUUAGAAUCUCGCAGGCUAGCAUGAUAACGCUUAGAAUCUCCCAGGCCUGCGUGAUAACGCUUAGAAUCUCGCAGGCUAGUGUGAUAACGCUUAGAAUCUCGCAGGCUAGUGUGAUAACGCUUAAAGUCUCGCAUGCUAGUGUGAUAACGCUUAGAAUCUCCCAGGCUAGUGUGAUAACGCUUAAAGUCUGGCAUGCUAGGCUUUAG
rnacentral:lncRNA from 1 species